rnacentral:lncRNA from 1 species
CAAAAACCGCUUCUACCAUCUCUCAAUCUCCAAAUGAGGAGUCCCCUCUCCGAUGACUCUGACUCGCUCUCUCCCCAAUCACCUAAAAACCGCCCUCGUGCCGUCAUCCCUGCUGUGGAUCACUUUAAUGGUGUUAAUGUUGGCGUUGGUGCUGCUGGUGGUGGUAUGCCUUCAUAUGAGGAGAAGCAAAGCUUCCUUAAAGACAACAGCAGCAGCAUCACAUUCAGUCUGUGGAGAGGAUGCUGAAGACGAUCCAGACGGUGUGACGUAUGCAGUCGUCGUCACAAAACUGAAACAGGACAAAGGU